rnacentral:lncRNA from 1 species
GGAUGCUGAUGAUUUCCUUUCCUGUCUGGAGAGAGCUCUCUGUGCUUUCUAGACUUAAUUCCACGGUCCGGCUGCUUAGGAAACACUGUGUUUUCAGUAGCUCGUCUCCAGAUCUCAUUCUUGCGUUGCCAUGUGCUGGAGCUUCCCCUCCAGGCUUGCAAAGGAAGGACUUUGCCAUAUGACUUUUAGAAACAGUGAGGAUCCUGGAUUUCCUGUGGCCUGGGAUUGGAAUCAGGAGUCAGGAGAGGAGCCACGGACCGCCUGAGUGUUGCAGAACGCUGACAGCGACAGUGACCUAACCCUUCCUCAUUCUGCAUUCUCCUUCCUCUGCCGGGUUACCCUCACCCUCUUGCAGCAUCUUCCAAGUGAGCCUGGAAGGUGGCUGAGUCUUAGGUCAACCCUAUCAAAACCACUUCCGCACCCCACUGUCCUUCCUGCUGCAGGAACACAGAACCAUGCCGCAGUUUCCUGCCGUCUCU